AGCGAACGCUGGCGGCAUGCUUAACACAUGCAAGUCGAGCGGUCAUCCUUGUUGUUUCAGCUACAGGCGGGUGAGUAACGCGUGUGAACAUGCCCUUCGGUUCGUAAUAACUCAGGGGAACUUGAACUAAUACCGGAUACGUACUACCGCAUAAAAGUUUAAUUGCCGAAGUAUCGGCCCGCGUCUGGUUAGCUAGGUGGUGAGGUUAUGGCUCACCAAGGCUACGAUCGGUGGCUGGGUUGAGAGGAUGAUCAGCCACCCUGGGACUGAGACCCGGACGAGACCUCUACGGGAGGCAGCAGGGGGGACUAGUGGACAAUGGGGGAGAGACUGAUCCAGCCAUGUCGCGUGAGUCAUGAAGGCCUUAGGGUUGUAAAGCUCUUUUCUCCGGGAAGAUAAUGACGGUACCGGCGGAAUAAGCCCCGGCUAACUUCGUG
rnacentral:rRNA from 1 species